rnacentral:lncRNA from 1 species
UUUUCUAUUUCUUUUCUCUCUUCGUUUUUCUUCUGCUUCCUAGCGUUCCUCUGAGCUUUUCCCUCCUUCUCAGUUGGCGUUCUCUUCAGCUUAGGCGGUUUCGGACAAUCCUUACGUUGAAAAACAGGCUUACGAUAAUCACCAAUAUCCAAACCACCCAAGUCAAUAUUAUGAUCACCGUUAACCUGUGCCUCCGUCAACCGAUUCAGAACAGAGUACAACGGAGGAUCGUGCUUCCCAAGAAUCACUUCGAAAGGAGCAUCUAUAUGACCUCCGAUGUUCGAGCUAUGACAAUCGACAACUGCCACAAACAAAAAGAUUAACACAUCAAACAGGAAUCCUUCAGCUAUAGAAAAAGCAAACCAAAACCAAUUCUUAACUUACUUUUAGGGUCCCGAUUGAAUGACCAGUAUUUCAAUUCAACAUACACACCCUCACCCUUUCCCCCAAAAUGCCCACUAACCACCAAGGGAAAGUUGGGCCAACUUUUAUCACUACUAACAAUUUUUGGAUAACCGAGAAUCGGCGGGUGCGACGAACAAAGUGGUAAUAAUCGACACCUACUCGGUCAUCAUUCUUCCUCAAAUAAUACACUUGCCUAAUGUCACCAAGAUGAAUACUGUAACCUUUGCGGUUUAAGGUAUUAAUAGCUCGCAUGACCCUCCAGAAGUUCCCGGUCCCCUGAUCGGGAGCUAUACAGUAAAAAAUCAGAACUUGUAUAUCGAGAGGGGUCAGCGGAAAUCGAAGGCCACGGGCGAUUUGGUACGCGGUGACCAUAAUGGUAUCUGGGGCCACGUCAUGAUGAGAGAAUCUCAAUGACGGUAGAUAAUGUUCUAACUUGACCUUAUCGGGUACUCCAUAUACAGUACUGAGCAAACCUAAAUUCGGCCGCCACUCGAAAGAAAUGGGAUUGAACACAUCUAAGAAGUAAGUACUGUCAGCUCUCUUGCGCACCGACCCUUCGGAUAUCGAUAGAGAAGUUUCUCUUCCAGAAACCGUUGGCCCCUCGUUUUCUUUUUCUUUUCCUUUUUUCUCUUUAUCUCUCCCACCAGCCAUGACUGUCGGUUUCGCGAUAACGGAGAACAAAGGUGGGGGCGCCAAGGGUCAACCUCACGGGUUCCUAGAAAAGAAACCGGAAAUCAAAGGGGAGACCAAGUAUUUCUACUCCAAAUUUAAAAGGUUUAAACAAAGGAAAAUCCCUAAGAGAGCUAGCCAAAUCGACUGGAUUUGCAAGCAAAUGAAGAAGAUUACAGCACACAUAUCAAACAACUUAUAUGAAUCUAACGAUACAGUAUAAUCAACUGACAAUCUUAACCCUUUAUUCCAUUCCUUGAUGCAGUUUUCCUUUUCAGAAAGAAAUCUUAAUAAAAUCGUUGAGAUCUCGACAAAAUCCUAGGUGUUCAGAAUUCAAAAGUCUCGAUUAUCUUAAAUAACUACUAUGCAGAAAAGAGAAAAAGAAGAAUGGAACUGACCUGCUUACACCAGCGAAGAAGAAGCUCGAAGAAGAAGCUGAAAUCCCAAGGAAAGUUAGAAAAAAACAGGAAAAAGUGAAGAAGAAGACGAAGAUGAAAAUA